rnacentral:rRNA from 1 species
CCUACGGGAGGCAGCAGUGGGGAAUAUUGGACAAUGGGCGAAAGCCUGAUCCAGCAAUGCCGCGUGAGUGAUGAAGGCCUUAGGGUUGUAAAGCUCCUUUACCAGGGAUGAUAAUGACAGUACCUGGAGAAUAAGCUCCGGCUAACUCCGUGCCAGCAGCCGCGGUAAUACGGAGGGAGCUAGCGUUGUUCGGAAUUACUGGGCGUAAAGCGUACGUAGGCGGUUAUUCAAGUCAGAGGUGAAAGCCUGGAGCUCAACUCCAGAACUGCCUUUGAAACUAGAUAGCUAGAAUCUUGGAGAGGUGAGUGGAAUUCCGAGUGUAGAGGUGAAAUUCGUAGAUAUUCGGAAGAACACCAGUGGCGAAGGCGACUCACUGGACAAGUAUUGACGCUGAGGUACGAAAGCGUGGGGAGCAAACAGGAUUAGAUACCCUGGUAGUCCACGCCGUAAACGAUGAUAACUAGCUGUUCGGGCUCUACGAGCUUGAGUGGCGCAGCUAACGCAUUAAGUUAUCCGCCUGGGGAGUACGGUCGCAAGAUUAAAACUCAAAGGAAUUGACGG